ACGGAAGGCAGCAGUGGGGGAUAUUGCACAAUGGGGGAAACCCUGACGCAGCAAUGCCGCGUGGGGGAAGACGGUCUUCGGAUUGUAAACCUAAGUAGUCAGGGAUGAAGAAAGUGACAUUACCUGAAGAGUAAGCUCCGGCUAACUACGUGCCAGCAGCCGCGGUAAUACGUAGGGAGCGAGCGUUGUCCGGAUUUACUGGGUGUAAAGGGUGCGUAGGCGGGCUUGCAAGUCAGGCGUGAAAUACCGGGGCUUAACUCCGGGGCUGCGCUUGAAACUGUAAGUCUUGAGUGAAGUAGAGGCAGGCGGAAUUCCCAGUGUAGCGGUGAAAUGCGUAGAUAUUGGGAGGAACACCAGUGGCGAAGGCGGCCUGCUGGGCUUUAACUGACGCUGAGGCACGAAAGUAUGGGGAGCAAACAGGAUUAGAUACCCUGGUA
rnacentral:rRNA from 1 species